AAAUUGAAGAGUUUGAUCAUGGCUCAGAUUGAACGCUGGCGGCAGGCCUAACACAUGCAAGUCGAACGGUAACAGGAAACAGCUUGCUGUUUCGCUGACGAGUGGCGGACGGGUGAGUAAUGUCUGGGAAACUGCCCGAUGGAGGGGGAUAACUACUGGAAACGGUAGCUAAUACCGCAUAACGUCGCAAGACCAAAGAGGGGGACCUUCGGGCCUCUUGCCAUCGGAUGUGCCCAGAUGGGAUUAGCUAGUAGGUGGGGUAACGGCUCACCUAGGCAACGAUCCCUAGCUGGUCUGAGAGGAUGACCAGCCACACUGGAACUGAGACACGGUCCAGACUCCUACGGGAGGCAGCAGUGGGGAAUAUUGCACAAUGGGCGCAAGCCUGAUGCAGCCAUGCCGCGUGUAUGAAGAAGGCCUUCGGGUUGUAAAGUACUUUCAGCGGGGAGGAAGGGAGUAAAGUUAAUACCUUUGCUAAUUGACGUUACCCGCAGAAGAAGCACCGGCUAACUCCGUGCCAGCAGCCGCGGUAAUACGGAGGGUGCAAGCGUUAAUCGGAAUUACUGGGCGUAAAGCGCACGCAGGCGGUUUGUUAAGUCAGAUGUGAAAUCCCCGGGCUCAACCUGGGAACUGCAUCUGAUACUGGCAGGCUUGAGUCUCGUAGAGGGGGGUAGAAUUCCAGGUGUAGCGGUGAAAUGCGUAGAGAUCUGGAGGAAUACCGGUGGCGAAGGCGGC
rnacentral:rRNA from 1 species